rnacentral:rRNA from 1 species
GACCUAGCGGCGGACGGGUGAGUAAUGCUUAGGAAUCUGCCUAUUAGUGGGGGACAACAUCUCGAAAGGGAUGCUAAUACCGCAUACGUCCUACGGGAGAAAGCAGGGGAUCUUCGGACCUUGCGCUAAUAGAUGAGCCUAAGUCGGAUUAGCUAGUUGGUGGGGUAAAGGCCUACCAAGGCGACGAUCUGUAGCGGGUCUGAGAGGAUGAUCCGCCACACUGGGACUGAGACACGGCCCAGACUCCUACGGGAGGCAGCAGUGGGGAAUAUUGGACAAUGGGGGGAACCCUGAUCCAGCCAUGCCGCGUGUGUGAAGAAGGCCUUAUGGUUGUAAAGCACUUUAAGCGAGGAGGAGGCUACUCUAGUUAAUACCUAGGGAUAGUGGACGUUACUCGCAGAAUAAGCACCGGCUAACUCUGUGCCAGCAGCCGCGGUAAUACAGAGGGUGCGAGCGUUAAUCGGAUUUACUGGGCGUAAAGCGUGCGUAGGCGGCUUAUUAAGUCGGAUGUGAAAUCCCCGAGCUUAACUUGGGAAUUGCAUUCGAUACUGGUGAGCUAGAGUAUGGGAGAGGAUGGUAGAAUUCCAGGUGUAGCGGUGAAAUGCGUAGAGAUCUGGAGGAAUACCGAUGGCGAAGGCAGCCAUCUGGCCUAAUACUGACGCUGAGGUACGAAAGCAUGGGGAGCAAACAGGAUUAGAUACCCUGGUAGUCCAUGCCGUAAACGAUGUCUACUAGCCGUUGGGGCCUUUGAGGCUUUAGUGGCGCAGCUAACGCGAUAAGUAGACCGCCUGGGGAGUACGGUCGCAAGACUAAAACUCAAAUGAAUUGACGGGGGCCCGCACAAGCGGUGGAGCAUGUGGUUUAAUUCGAUGCAACGCGAAGAACCUUACCUGGCCUUGACAUACUAG